CUUCCCCAUCUGUUUUGUUUCCAGAAAAGUCGGUCUGAGUUUCACUUCACAGGGGAGGUGGAGACUCAGGUUUUGUUGCUACCCUGCAGUAUAAAAUCCCCACACGGCUCGCUCUCCUCAGUCCUGCAGUCCUCUGCUGAACGCCAUUAUGACGACCACAGAUGAGCAGGAUGAAGAGGAAGAUGAUGAUUAUGACGAAAAGUAUGAAGAUUACAAGUAUAAUUACUUUUUAUAGUGUACAGUCAGUCUACUCCCAAGGGUAGCACACCAGGUUCCUUUGUGGAACCGGUGGGCAGAAGUCCACCUGAGGCACUGAAACAGGCCUUAAAACUAGGAGGCGGAACUCCUUCCAGAUGAGGAAGGACUUAACCUCGAACAAAACAGACUAUCACUAUCACAAUGCUAUGUGAAGGUACUUGAAGGAAUUUCUGAGUGGCUCAGAACAUUUCAGGGUUGCUGCUUUGGCUAAUGGUUAGAAUUCCAUAAUUUACUAUAUGAGGAUAUUAUGGUUGUAGAUAUCUUUUCAAUAAUGUAAGAUAUGUAGAUGCAUCUAACCUCCAAACCCAGGAUCUCUCCUGAAAUGAAGCCACAAGUCUAAACUCCCAUCUUCUGCUGUGUGUCAUGCAAAAAAUGCAUCACAAACCGCUGAAAGGCACAAAAGAGAGCCACUAGGAGACAGGAGGGCAGAGUUCCACCUGAGGUACUGAAGAUAAGACAAUAUUUCUACCAGGCCUUAAAGGGAGAAGAGGCGCCUACCAGAUGAGGAAGGAGGACUUAAGCCUUGAAACCAUGAAGCGAGAAGACUCUCACAAUAUGAAGGCAGUUUAUUAUGUUAAUCAUAACAUGAUUAACAUAAUACAUAAUUUCUGUUGUACCUUAAACUAAUGGACAUACUGUAUGUUCAACUAUCACAAUGCUAUGUGAAGCAAUGUGAAGUGUCUCAGAACAUUUAAGGGUAGCUGCUUGCCCAAAAUGGUCAGGAUUGCAUAAUUUCCUAUAUGAGGAUAUUAUAGUGGUAUAUCUUUUCAAUAAUGUAAACCAUGCAUCUAACUGAUAAAUGAGGAAAUAGGACUUAAGCCGUCUAUACUUCAAGUGAGAAGACACUCACAAUGUGAAAGCAUACAGUUACAGGGUAUAAAUAAUAUAAUAGUAUGUUUAUUAUCGAACCAUGUUUACUUGUGGUUAUUACCGAUGUGAAAUGGCUAGCAAGUUAGCGGGGUGCGCGCUAAUAGCGUUUCAAUCGUAACGUCACUUGCUCUGAGACCUUGAAGUAGUUGUUCCCCUUGCUCGGCUUUUGUGGAGCGAUGUGUAACGAUGCUUCAAGGGUGACUGUAGUCUAUGUGUGCAGGGGGUCCCUGAUUCGAGCCCAGGUAAGGGCAAAGAGAGGGACGGAAGCUAUAGGGACUAUGUUCAACUAUAACUAUAAGGAUUUCUGUCGCUUGGUUUUGUGGCUAAAGGGAACAUUUGAGGGUAGUUGUUCAGGAUAAAAUGGUUAUGAUUGCCUAGAUUUUCAUAAUGUAUUAUGAACAUAAUUUAGGGUGAUUACAUAUGUUCAUAUAUGAUGUAUAUGUAGAUACAACUAACUAUCAAAGCCAACAUCUCCCUUCACUUGGAGCCACAUGUUGAAUGUCCCUUCUUGUGUUUUACUUGUUUUGAAAUAAAUGUUUUCUUUCAUUCUAA